rnacentral:rRNA from 1 species
AUUGAACGCUGGCGGCAGGCCUAACACAUGCAAGUCGAGCGAGCGGCGAACGGGAGAGUAAUGUAUGGGGACUGCCCGAUAGCGGGGGAUAACUAAUGGAAACGGUAGCUAAUACCGCAUACUAUCGGAUAACCCAUAUGGUAUUAGCUAGUAGGUGAGGUAAUGGCUCACCUAGGCGACGAUCCAUAGCUGGUCUGAGAGGAUGAUAAGCCACACUGGUACGGAGACACGGCCCAGACUCCGACGGAGGCAGCAGUGGGGAAUAGUGAACAAUGGGCGCAAGCCUGAUGCAGCCAUGCCGCGUGUAUGAAGAAGGCCCUAGGGUUGUAAAGUACUUUCAGUCGGGAGGCGUUACCGACAGAAGAAGCAACGGCUAACUCCGUGCCAGCAGCCGCGGUAAUUC